CCUGGGGGAUCAUCUGGUACAAGCUGGUUAUUUUCUAGUUUUAACUGAGGUGGAUGUGUGAAAUGACUAGCAUGAUUCCAAAGUUUCUUUCUUCUUCCCUGGAGGAUUCCUCCUGAUGGAUGAAGCUACUAACACAGCCCUCCACUCUCUGUCUCAACUGUGAUGAACAAUGAAGACUGCUUUUAUUCUCUUGUUCCUGUUGAAAAAUAACAACUCUGCCACCCACCCUUGUCUCCUAUUGCAAGAAGACCUCCAGAGUAAUUAAAUUCAACAGUUGAAAUGAUGUCAGCUUCCGCCACAUCCUCAUUGACUGCACCCUUCACCUAGGGGCUCAGAGAGGGAGUGCUGAGAGCAUCUGUUCUGAGAAACUGCUGUUCAAAAUGGAAGGAAAUACACAAAGCCAAGAGGAACCUCCGUUGUGAGAAGAGCUGAGAGAUGAAGAACAAUGCCUGUAGGACUCUUAGAAAAGCCAUCUCCAUGAGCCACUGCCUCCUUCUCAGCACCAGUAUUCUGGAAAGAGCACACCUCAUAAAGUCCUCCUGAAGGGCAGAGAUGCUGGGGAAUUUAUCCACCAACUCUUUCCCCUGUGGGCUCAGAGGAGCUCCUGAACAUGGACAUCAGCUUCCUGUCACUGGAACAGAGCCUUCUAAAAGAAAUGGUUCAUUUUGGCUCAUGAUUUGGGAGGUUAUGCUCAUCACACAUUUGGGCCUGAGAGGAGGUAGAACAUUGCACUGAGAGUGCAUGGUAAAGCAAAGCUGCUCACCUCAGGGCCAGGAAGUGAAAAAGAGGGGGUGGGGUUACACAGUCCUCUCUGGGACUCUAAGCAACGUAAGGACCUGGGACUUGGCCCGACCUGGAGUUCCCACUGUCUCCCAGUGUGCCAGCCAGGGACCAAGCCUUUAACACAUGGGGCACUUUGGAGGACACUCAAUAUCUGAACUACAGUGAUGAGACAAGCCUGCCCUGUCCAGAGAACACCCUCAGGCAGGGCAAGGACAGAGGCUUUUGGCUGUGGGCAACCUGCCUGUUGGGACCACAGGAUGAAGGGAUGUUGUAAGGCAUAGGCAGCUCUGCUGCAGGGACUGUGCCUUCCCCUUUUGGCAUCCUCAGUACUGAGACCACAUCUGGAAGUUCAUGAACACUCAGCAAAUGUUCAAUGAACACAGGAAUGGGUGAGGAAUGCAUGCACAGAAAGCUUAUUUUUUUCAAUUGUUAUUGUUUUGUUAGUACACGUUUGCAGUACAUAAUAAUUACUUUCCUUGUGGAGCGUUGCUACAUCUCAAGGUGUGCGUGACACAUCUCAAUUCUUUUUUCAUCCCCUUAUCCUCCUCCUCCUCACUCCUUCCAUCUCAUGCUCCCCCUCCUUAUUUGCAAAAGAUCUAUCUCCCUAUUUCCUACUAUCUAUCUUUUAUUUUGCACUUUACUUAUAUUUCAAGUUUCACAUGUAAGAGAAACUGUAUGAUAUUUAAGCUUGUGUAUCUGGUUCACCUCAAUCAACAUUAUGGUCUCAAGAUGUAUCCGUUUUGGGCUGUUGUACCACCCCCACCAGGACAGAGGAGGUGAGCUGCACAGGCACCAGCAGCAACAUCCCUCUCCCCCUGCCCCCCCCCCCGUCUAAAUGAGAGACAUGUAAAGAAGUCUCAAAAACAGACUUCCAGAUCACCUACAGCAACCCCAAAGGGAAACAAAAUGGAACACUCUGAUACUCAACCUGGACUCCCUGAACUGGCAACAAAAGAGGAUCUGUAAAAAAUUACAUUAGAAAUAAUUUCUCAGAUAACAGCAGAGAUUGUGCUCAUAGUGCAACACAUGAUUAAUAAAUCUAGAGAG
ensembl:lncRNA